UACAGAGGUCUCGAGCGUUAGGCGGAAUCACUGGGCUUAAAGCGUGUGUAGGCGGAUCGGUAAGUACCUUGUGAAAUCCCUCGGCUUAACCGGGGAACUGCGUCUGAUACUGGAUGGCUUGAGGUUGGGAGAGGGAUGCGGAAUUCCAGGUGUAGCGGUGAAAUGCGUAGAUAUCUGGAGGAACACCGGUGGCGAAGGCGGCCAACUGGACGAAUACUGACGCUGAGACACGAAAGCGUGGGGAGCAAACAGG
rnacentral:rRNA from 1 species